CCUACGGGAGGCAGCAGUGAGGAAUAUUGGACAAUGGGCGAAAGCCCGAUCCAGCAACGCCGCGUGGAGGAUGAAGGCCUUCGGGUCGUAAACUUCUUUAGAGGGAGACGAGAAAGGACGGUAUCCCUAGAAUAAGCGACGGCAAACUACGUGCCAGCAGCCGCGGUAACACGUAGGUCGCGAGCGUUAUCCGGAUUUACUGGGCGUAAAGCGCUUGUAGGCGGUUCUGUAAGUCGGGCGUGAAAUCUCCGGGCUUAACCCGGAGUGGCCGUUCGAUACUGCAGGGCUUGAGGAUGCUAGAGGGUGGUGGAAUUCCAGGUGUAGUGGUGAAAUGCGUAGAUAUCUGGAGGAACAUCCGUGGCGAAGGCGGCCACCUGGGGCAUUCCUGACGCUGAGAAGCGACAGCUAGGGGAUCAAACGGGAUUAGAAACCCCGGUAGUCCUAGCCGUAAACGAUGGACGCUAGGUGUUGGCAGAUCUAACCCUGUCUGCGCCGAAGCAAACGCGUUAAGCGUCCCGCCUGGGAACUACGGUCGCAAGAUUAAAACUCAAAUGAAUUGACGG
rnacentral:rRNA from 1 species